rnacentral:rRNA from 1 species
AUGAACGCUGGCGGCGUGCCUAAUACAUGCAAGUCGAGCGAACAGACGAGGAGCUUGCUCCUCUGACGUUAGCGGCGGACGGGUGAGUAACACGUGGAUAACCUACCUAUAAGACUGGGAUAACUUCGGGAAACCGGAGCUAAUACCGGAUAAUAUAUUGAACCGCAUGGUUCAAUAGUGAAAGACGGUUUUGCUGUCACUUAUAGAUGGAUCCGCGCCGCAUUAGCUAGUUGGUAAGGUAACGGCUUACCAAGGCAACGAUGCGUAGCCGACCUGAGAGGGUGAUCGGCCACACUGGAACUGAGACACGGUCCAGACUCCUACGGGAGGCAGCAGUAGGGAAUCUUCCGCAAUGGGCGAAAGCCUGACGGAGCAACGCCGCGUGAGUGAUGAAGGACUUCGGAUCGUAAAACUCUGUUAUUAGGGAAGAACAAAUGUGUAAGUAACUAUGCACGUCUUGACGGUACCUAAUCAGAAAGCCACGGCUAACUACGUG